GAUACGAUUAUUCAGGUAUUUGACUUGCCGCUGC
rnacentral:rRNA from 1 species